GCAUGAUAGCUGAGUGGAUAAAGCGUUUAUAGCUACCGGUACUGAAGAUCGAUGGUUCAAUUCCAUCCUGGAGCA